rnacentral:rRNA from 1 species
AUUGAACGGCUGGCGGCAUGCCUUACACAUGCAAGUCGAACGGCAGCACGGGAGCAAUCCUGGUGGCGAGUGGCGAACGGGUGAGUAAUAUAUCGGAACGUGCCCAGUCGUGGGGGAUAACGUAGCGAAAGCUACGCUAAUACCGCAUACGAUCUAUGGAUGAAAGCGGGGGAUCGCAAGACCUCGCGCGAUUGGAGCGGCCGAUAUCAGAUUAGGUAGUUGGUGAGGUAAAGGCUCACCAAGCCGACGAUCUGUAGCUGGUCUGAGAGGACGACCAGCCACACUGGGACUGAGACACGGCCCAGACUCCUACGGGAGGCAGCAGUGGGGAAUUUUGGACAAUGGGCGCAAGCCUGAUCCAGCAAUGCCGCGUGCAGGAUGAAGGCCUUCGGGUUGUAAACUGCUUUUGUACGGAGCGAAACGGUGAGCUCUAAUACAGUUUGCUAAUGACGGUACCGUAAGAAUAAGCACCGGCUAACUACGUG